ensembl:misc_RNA Metazoa_SRP Metazoan signal recognition particle RNA
GCCAGGUGUGAUGGCUCACACCUGUAAUCCCAGCACUUUGGGAGGCUGAGGUGGGUGGAUCACCUGAGGUCAGGAGUUUGAGACCAGCCUGGCCAACAUGGUGAAACCCCAUCUCUA